UACGAAGGGGGCUAGCGUUGCUCGGAAUCACUGGGCGUAAAGGGUGCGUAGGCGGGUCUUUUAAGUCAGGGGUGAAAUCCUGGAGCUCAACUCCAGAACUGCCUUUGAUACUGAAGAUCUUGAGUUCGGGAGAGGUGAGUGGAACUGCGAGUGUAGAGGUGAAAUUCGUAGAUAUUCGCAAGAACACCAGUGGCGAAGGCGGCUCACUGGCCCGAUACUGACGCUGAGGCACGAAAGCAUGGGGAG
rnacentral:rRNA from 1 species